AUUGAACGCUGGCGGCAGGCCUAACACAUGCAAGUCGAGCGGAUGAAGGGAGCUUGCUCCUGGAUUCAGCGGCGGACGGGUGAGUAAUGCCUAGGAAUCUGCCUGGUAGUGGGGGAUAACGUCCGGAAACGGGCGCUAAUACCGCAUACGUCCUGAGGGAGAAAGUGGGGGAUCUUCGGACCUCACGCUAUCAGAUGAGCCUAGGUCGGAUUAGCUAGUUGCUGGGGUAAAGGCCUACCAAGGCGAAGAUCCGUAACUGGUCUGAGAGGAUAAUCAGUAACACUAGGACUAAAGCAGGGUCAAGACGCCGACGGGAGGAAGCAGUGGGAAAUAUUGGACAACGGGCGAAAGCCUGAUCCAGCCAUGCCGCGUGUGUGAAGAAGGUCUUCGGAUUGGAAAGCACUUUAAGUUGGGAGGAAGGGCAGUAAGUUAAUACCUUGCUGUUUUGACGUUACCAACAGAAUAAGCACCGGCUAGCUUCGUG
rnacentral:rRNA from 1 species